CAGCGUUCUCAAUGUGCACGCGUUCAGCCAAUAGGAGCGGCUCCCUGCUGAUGACGCGACGCAGCGGCUCUGGUCUCUUCCCACUGCGCAGGAAGCGAGACGCGCAAAGGAAUCAGAAGUUAAACGCAAAGGUAACGCGGCGCUCUCUCAACAGAAGCAGCAGCAGUUUUUACUGUAACCGCUCGGAGUUUCCCCACGAACGCAAGAGGAACCCGGCGUCUAGAGCAGAAUGAAUGGUUAUCAAGGCGCCAGAAACAGAGCGAGGGAAGCUGUUAGAAGAUGCAAUGCUGGGAAGUCUUUUAAACCCUGGUUCUUCUGGUGACUUGGCAGAGCUCAACCAUGGAAGUCAGACUGUUGCAGGCCGAAGACGACCGAUAAAGGUCCAGACAUGAAGGAGACCGCGUCUUGUCUGUGGCAUCUCACAAUGAGAAGAGCUUUCAGCGUGUCGCGAGUUUCCAAAGUUGGUACAACAGAUACACUGGAUGAAGUCGGAGGCCAAAUCCCUCCUGGGCGGCUGACCCUCUCCUGCACCACGGUAAAGGGUGAGCGUCGAUGUUCGGGUGGCAAAGGCAAACGGGUGGACAAUUUGUCUUCGGCCUUAAAGGUGCACUCAGGAAUGUUUCCGUGUUAAAAGUUUACAGAACCAGAAAUAGCACUAAACAAAAGUAAAUGUGA